rnacentral:rRNA from 1 species
UGCGCAGGCGGUUUUGUAAGACAGAGGUGAAAUCCCCGGGCUCAACCUGGGAACUGCCUUUGUGACUGCAAGGCUGGAGUACGGCAGAGGGGGAUGGAAUUCCGCGUGUAGCAGUGAAAUGCGUAGAUAUGCGGAGGAACACCGAUGGCGAAGGCAAUCCCCCGGGCCCUGUACUGACGCUCAUGCACGAAAGCGUGGGGAGCAAACA